UCAACAUUCAGGGUGGUUUACACGGGGCU
rnacentral:piRNA from 1 species